GCAUUGUGUCAAUAAUAAGUGUUGCUGUGAAGAGAACAAUAGUCAGACUGAAUGUUGAACAUCAGCUAGUUUCUCCUGCUGAUUUAAACCUUGUUGGACAGAUGGAACAUUGGCUGUGGAUUAUUCUAGCUGCUCUUUUCUUUGAGUGUAAAGGAGACUCAGUGACGCAGACAGAAGGACAUGUUGCUGCUGAAGGCGAAUCCAUGACUCUUGGAUGUAUUUUUGAAACCAGCAGUACGGGAUAUACCAUGUUCUGGUAUAAACAAGAAGAAAACAGCUUCCCAAAGUACAUGCUGAACCAAUACUAUCAAACAAAAGAUAAAGCUCCUGAGUUCAACUACAAUCGAUUUAAUGCUGACAUCAACAAUGAGAAGAAAUCCUUCAAUCUGACGAUCCAGGAUCUCCGUCUGUCAGACUCUGCUGUGUACUACUGUGCUCUGCAGCCCACAGUGACAGGAAACACCAGAACUCUGUACAAGAACCUGCAAUACUCCACAACAUCCACUAGAGGGCUGCAAACAUCCAGUAGUAGGACUCUGAAGUACAGCUAUAGAAACCAAUAUACUCAAAGGCAAAGCAGCACCUUCACUUGGAAUCCAAUUCACUAAGAAAUUGAUAAUAUUAACACUCAGACCUAAAACGAUUGGCUGAUGAGAUUGGAGAUAUAUGCAGGAAAACAGGUUCGGCCCCAUUAGAAACCACUUGCAGAGGUUUGUUGUGCAACAAUUUACAAACACAAAGGCCC